rnacentral:lncRNA from 1 species
GCCAUGCCUUGCAGCAUGAGAGAUCUUCCUUCCCUGACCAGGAAUUGAAUCUGCAGCCCCAGCAGUAGAAGGGCAGAGUCUUAAUCACUGGACGGUCAGGGAAGUCCCUACUGACCCAUUUUCUUUGUCUGACUUCCAGAACCAUAAGAUAAUAAAUGUGAGGGAUUUUUUUUUUUUUAAGCCACCAAGUUUGUGUUAUUUGUUACAGCAGCAGUUGAAAAGAGGUACAACCUUUCCACUCUGCCUACAAGAGGAGCUCACUGUGCCUCAGUCAACCCAGAGGACAGGUGUCAGCUCGCAGUUUAGAAGGUGCAACUUUGAGUUUCAUCUAGGGACAGGCAACCCCAAAACUGGGAACCUCAGCAAUGAGUCAGGGGCGUUAGAAGACACUGUAUAAACAUGGCAUAUCUUCUGAGAAAGUCAGCUCUACUCAAAGAGGACUUGCAUUCACUGAGUGCUUCCUGCUGCUGCUGCUGCUGCUGCUGCUAAGUCACUUCAGUCAUGUCUGA